rnacentral:tRNA from 1 species
GGAAAUGUGGCUUAGGGUAGGAGUGCUUGCCUAGCAUGCAUGAAGCUCUGGGUUCAAUCCCCCAGUACCA